GUCUACGGCCAUGCCACCCUGAACGCGCCCAAUCUCGUCUGAUCUCGGAAGCUAAGCAGGGUCAGGCCUGGGAGACCACCUAGGAAAACCUGGUGCUGUAGGCG
rfam:Pteropus alecto contig82942, whole genome shotgun sequence.